CCGCUUAAGACUAGAUAGUCCAAAGUCUCGAUA
rnacentral:sRNA from 1 species